rnacentral:rRNA from 1 species
CCUACGGGAGGCUGCAGUGAGGAAUAUUGGUCAAUGGACGCAAGUCUGAACCAGCCAUGCCGCGUGCAGGAAGACGGCUCUAUGAGUUGUAAACUGCUUUUGUACGAGGGUAAACGCAGAUACGCGUAUCUGUCUGAAAGUAUCGUACGAAUAAGGAUCGGCUAACUCCGUGCCAGCAGCCGCGGUAAUACGGAGGAUUCAAGCGUUAUCCGGAUUUAUUGGGUUUAAAGGGUGCGUAGGCGGUCGGAUAAGUUAGAGGUGAAAUCCCGAGGCUCAACUUCGGAAUUGCCUCUGAUAUGGUUCGGCGAGAGGGUAGUUGCGGUAGGAGGAAUGUAUGGUGUAGCGGUGAAAUGCUUAGAGAUCAUACAGAACACCGAUUGCGAAGGCAGCUUACCAAGCUACUUCUGACGUGGAGGCACGAAAGCGUGGGGAGCAAACAGGAUCAGAUACCCGUGGAGUC